CUGAGGUAUUUUCCUGCACUUCCCUCAUGUCUCAAGCCUUGCACACUCACCCUGUGGGUUUCCAAAGAAGUUUCUCCAUGCAGCUCCCCGGAUGGCUGCACUCCAGCGAAGGAUGAAGCCAUUGCCUUGGCCAGACAAACUGCUGCAUCCAAACUUCCCUUGGAAAACCAGGUGAGGUUUCAGAGACAGAAGGAGACACUGCUGGUCUGACCUCCUGUUCUAAUCAGAGCACAUUGUGAGGAGUAACCUCCAGUCCUGAUUUCUAAGAAGGCAAUAAUAAACCAUUCAUUUGUAUUUCAUACAGAGUAAUGCCGUAUUUCAUCAGGAUGCACAAACCUGCAUUCUGAAGGAACAAUACACAUUUGGGAUUGGAUUUACAGCUGUUUAGUAGCUCUCGCAUUUGCAGGCAAA